AACCAGCACGAGGUUGCCUUCUAAUUCACGUGUCUCAUCAUUUCACUGAAGAUGUAUGGAACGCUUCCCCCUUUCAAAGUGUUAAGUACUUUGCUGUCAGCAUCACCAUCACAGCCUGCGAACUCGACACUAAAGAGAGAGAAGUGGAAAAGGCAAAGUUUGGAGAAAAUAAGCAGAAGGCAUGGGGACUGGAAGUUGUGAGGUACGAUGAGGCUUUUGCUGAUACAGGAAUGAUGUCCUCACCCACUGGGCCAUAGGAGUGGCCUCCCAGGAUCAAAGAACAUGGGGAGCCAGCACUGGU
rnacentral:lncRNA from 1 species